CUUCAAAAAAAUUAUGCUUAUUUUAGGCUUUGAUUACAUUAAAAACAAGAACAAUAAGGGACUUCCAUCAGCUUAAAGGACCACUCUAGUGCCAGGAAAACAGACUUGUUUUCCUGGCACUACAGAAUCAUUAGUCUUCCCUCCCCACCCCCCCCGGGUCCCCUUUCAGCCACUUACCUUUAUCCAGUGCCAGGCUUCCUCGUCGCUGGUGACCUCUCCUCCCCCUCCAACUUUGGUUCCCGAGAGGAGCAGAAUGCGCAUGCGAGGCAAGACCCGCGCGCAUUCAAAACGCCCAUAGGAAAGCAUUACUCAAUGCUUUUCUAUGGACGUCAGUGUCUUCUCACUGUGAAAAUCACAGUGAGAAUCGCGGAGGCGGCCUCUAGUCGCUGUCAAUGAGAGUGUGGAUGCACAUUGCCCUUGUGCUUUAGCAGAGAGAUCCAUAUUGUGACAGACCUGCUUUAACAUAGAAUGGAAAAAAUGUUAAAAGGUGAGUUGGCUGCUAAACAUCCUGAUCAACUUUAAACUUUUCUUUUAACAGGAUGUGGUUUUGUUGGAGAAAAGAGGAUUUAUUUCUGUUCUCAUUUAAAUGGAAGUCACAGGUUCAUUUUCCCAUGCAGCAUAUUUUAAAAAAAAUUUAAAAAAAUAAAACAAAGUGUUCAAAGAAAUUGCUAACUCUGGUUUUACUUUCCCUGGAAUACAAUUCUGUGGUUAGUUACAUCUGAAAUUGCCCUUGCAAUAUAUACAUUUACAUCACUUUUUUGAUAAAGGAAAUUGAGCAGAUAGGUUUUAAAGAGGAAUUGUCACUUCCCGGUAUUUUUUAUAUUUUUACUUAUCCCUGUAUUAAAAAAUAAAUAAAUUCAUAUGUGAGAUGUGAAAAUUAAAAUUCAAUGGAAUGUUCUUGCCACCUGCUCCACUUGUACAAUUCUGGACCAGAAUUACUCAUUGUACAUAACCCCCUAAUAUUUCUAUUUAUUCUCCUUGUUUGCCUUGUGUGACUGGGUUGUGAUGUAAUUUGCUACAUCUUUAAUAUCAACUUAAAACAAACAGG